rnacentral:rRNA from 1 species
UACAGAGGGUGCGAGCGUUGUCCGGAAUUACUGGGCGUAAAGGGCGCGUAGGCGGCUUGGUAAGUCGGGGGUGAAAGUCAGCGGCUCAACCGCUGGACUGCCUUCGAGACUGCCUGGCUUGAGCAUGGUAGAGGCUGGCGGAAUUCCCGGUGUAGCGGUGAAAUGCGCAGAUAUCGGGAAGAACACCCGUGGCGAAGGCGGCUCUCUGGAACGCAACUGACGCUGAGACGCGAAAGCGUGGGGAGCAAACAGG